CUCGUAGUCGGACCUUGGGCCGGGCCGGUCGGUCCACCUCCUGGUGUGCACCGGCCGUCCCGUCCCCUCUGCCGGUGAUGCACUCAUGGCCUUAACUGGCCGGGUCGUGCCUCUGGCGCCAUUACUUUGAAGAAAUUAGAGUGCUCAAAGCAAGCCCACGCUCUGGAUACAUUAGCAUGGGAUAACAUCAUAGGAUUCCGGUCUUAUUGUGUUGGCCUUCGGGAUCGGAGUAAUGAUUAAGAGGGACAGUCGGGGGCAUUCGUAUUUCAUAGUCAGAGGUGAAAUUCUUGGAUUUAUGAAAGACGAACCACUGCGAAAGCAUUUGCCAAGGAUGUUUUCAUUGAUUAAGAACGAAAGUUGGGGGAUUGAAGAUGAUCAGACACUGUCCUAGUCUCAACCAUAAACGAUGCCGACCAGGGAUCGGUGGAUGUUGCUUUUAGGACUCUGCCGGCACCUUAUGAGAAAUCAAAGUCUUUGGGUUCCGGGGGAAGUACGGUCGCAAGGCUGAAACUUAAAGGAAUUGACUGAAGGGCACCACCAGGAGUGGAGCCAGCGGCUUAAUUUGACUCAACAUGGGGAAACUUACCAGGUCCAGACAUAGCAAGGAUUGACAGACUGAGAGCUCUUUCUUGAUUCUAUGGGUGGUGGUGCAUGGCCGUUCUGAGUUGGUGGAGCGAUUUGUCUGGUUAAUUCUGACAACGAACGAGACCUCAGCCUGCUAACUAGCUAUGCGGAGGAAUCCCUCCGCGGCCAGCUUCUUAGAGGGACUGUGGCCAUUUAGGCCACGGAAGUUUGAGGCAAUAACAGGUCUGUGAUGCCCUUAGAUGUUCUGGGCCGCAUGCGCGCUACACUGAUGUAUUCAACGAGUCUAUAGCCUUGCCCGACAGGCCCGGGUAAUCUUGUAAAAUUUCAUCGUGAUGGGGAUAGAUCAUUGCAAUUGUUGGUCUUCAACGAAGAAUUCCUAGUAAGCGCGAGUCAUCAUCUCACGUUGACUACGUCCCUGCCCUUUGUACACACCGCCCGUCAUUCCUACCGAUUGAAUGGUCCGGUGAAGUGUUCGGAUCGCGGCGACGGGGCGGUCUCGCCGCCCGCGACGUCGCGAGAAGUCCACUGAACCUUAUCAUUUAGAGGAAGGAGAAGUCGUAACAAGGUUUCCGUAGGUAAACCUGCGGAAG
rnacentral:rRNA from 1 species